CAGCUCAUAGAGUGGUGAUCGUGAUUAUUGGGCCUAAAACGUCCGUAGCCUGUGUAGUAAAUGCCUGGGUAAAUCGUGUAGCUUAACUAUACGAAUUCCGGGUAGACUGCUAAACUUGAGACCGGGAGAGGCUAGAGGUACUCCUGGGGUAGAGGUGAAAUUCUGUAAUCCUAGGGGGACCACCAGUGGCGAAGGCGUCUAGCUAGAACGGGUCUGACGGUGAGGGACGAAGCCCUGGGGCACAAACCGGAUUAGAGACCCGAGUAGUCC
rnacentral:rRNA from 1 species